GAUGAAGAACGCAGCGAAAUGCGAUAAGUAAUGUGAAUUGCAGAAUUCAGUGAAUCAUCGAAUCUUUGAACGCACAUUGCGCCCGCCAGUAUUCUGGCGGGCAUGCCUGUCUGAGCGUCAUUUCAACCCUCAUGCCCCUAGGGCGUGGUGUUGGGGAUCGGCCAAAGCCCGCGAGGGACGGCCGGCCCCUAAAUCUAGUGGCGGACCCGUCGUGGCCUCCUCUGCGAAGUAGUGAUAUUCCGCAUCGGAGAGCGAUGAGCCCCUGCCGUUAAACCCCCAACUUUCCAAGGUUGACCUCAGGUCAGGUAGGAAUACCCGCUGAACUUAAGCAUAUCAAUAAGCGGAGGA
rnacentral:misc_RNA from 1 species